rnacentral:lncRNA from 1 species
CCCAUUUCAACGCUUCCAGUUCUGAGUGUAAUGCUGUCUCUCGCCUUCUUAAGUUUUAUGUCCCCAUAAGUUGGAUCUUCCCCGUGUUGUCCUUCCAAACCCAUCCAAUGCUGCUGAAUUGAUCUGUGGAUGUCCAUGAACCAUCCACCAUACACAUAUUAUCCAAGCUUAAGGCUUGUGCCACUUCAACAAUUGGUGCAUGUGGGGGAGUAGGUAUAGAAUCCUUAGCAUUAUACCAAGCCUGGCACU